rnacentral:rRNA from 1 species
ACGACUACAUAUCAGGCAUAUCAAUAAGCGGAGGAAAAGAAACUAACUAGGAUUCCCUAGUAACGGCGAGUGAAGCGGGAAGAGCUCAAAUUUGAAAUCUUCAAGGUUUUACCUUGACGAAUUGUAGUUUAAAGAAGUGUUUUCUGUUGGUGUUUUGGUAAAAGUUCUUUGGAAUAGGACAUCAUAGAGGGUGAGAAUCCCGUAUUUGACCAUUAUUUCAGCUGUGUGAUACACUUUCAAAGAGUCGGAUUGUUUGGGAAUGCAGUCCAAAAUGGGUGGUAAAUUUCAUCUAAAGCUAAAUAUUGGCGAGAGACCGAUAGCGAACAAGUACCGUGAGGGAAAGAUGAAAAGAACUUUGAAAAGAGAGUUAAACAGUACGUGAAAUUGUCAAAAGGGAAGCGUUUGACACCAGUGUUGUUUUCUCGAAAAUCAAUUAAAAAUGGCCGGAUUUUGUGUUGUAUUGACUUUAUCAGCUUUCUGCACUUUUUUCUUGUCUUUUUUAAUGCACUUUUCGUUUAACAAGUCAACAUCAAUUUCUUUUGUUGUAAAAGAGUCAUUGGAAGGUGGCUUUCACUUCGGUGAAAGUGUUUAUAGCCUUUGACUUCUGCAAUCGGAGAGAUUGAGGUCUGCAGCGUAGAUCCUUCGGGGUUAGAUACAUUAGAUGCUAAGUUAUAGUUUUUCAUAGACAACAUGUUGACUAUGAUUAAUCAUGUAGCUUACUCGUUAUGCCUAUUUUACCUACGCUUAGGAUGUUGAACGCGCACAGAGUCUC